rnacentral:rRNA from 1 species
AGGACUGCCGGUCGAUAAACCGGAGGAAGGUGGGGAUGACGUCAAGUCCUCAUGGCCCUUAUGGGUAGGGCUUCACACGUCAUACAAUGGUCGGUACAGAGGGUUGCCAAGCCGCGAGGUGGAGCCAAUCCCUUAAAGCCGAUCGUAGUCCGGAUCGUAGUCUGCAACUCGACUACGUGAAGUCGGAAUCGCUAGUAAUCGCAGAUCAGCAUGCUGCGGUGAAUACGUUCCCGGGUCUU